AGAGUUUGAUCAUGGCUCAGAUUGAACGCUGGCGGCAGGCCUAACACAUGCAAGUCGAACGGUAGCAGGAUGUGCUUGCACAUCGCUGACGAGUGGCGGACGGGUGAGUAAUGCUUGGGAACUUGCCUUUGCGAGGGGGAUAACAGUUGGAAACGACUGCUAAUACCGCAUAACGUCUUCGGACCAAACGGGGCUUAGGCUCCGGCGCAGAGAGAGGCCCAAGUGAGAUUAGCUAGUUGGUGGGGUAAAGGCUCACCAAGGCAACGAUCUCUAGCUGUUCUGAGAGGAAGAUCAGCCACACUGGGACUGAGACACGGCCCAGACUCCUACGGGAGGCAGCAGUGGGGAAUAUUGCACAAUGGGGGAAACCCUGAUGCAGCCAUGCCGCGUGUGUGAAGAAGGCCUUCGGGUUGUAAAGCACUUUCAGUUGUGAGGAAAAGUUAGUAGUUAAUACCUGCUAGCCGUGACGUUAACAACAGAAGAAGCACCGGCUAACUCCGUGCCAGCAGCCGCGGUAAUACGGAGGGUGCGAGCGUUAAUCGGAAUUACUGGGCGUAAAGCGCACGCAGGCGGUUUGUUAAGCUAGAUGUGAAAGCCCCGGGCUCAACCUGGGAUGGUCAUUUAGAACUGGCAGACUAGAGUCUUGGAGA
rnacentral:rRNA from 1 species